UUAACAGUUUGGCAGCACUUUUCAGAGCGCGUUCGAACUCAGCGAGUGAUAACUGUAAUUACAACAACUGUUAUAUGAUGAAUGAAAUUAACUCCUGCACAGAUGACUCAGCAUCGUGUUUGGCAUUGGACUUGACAAGGCAUUGGAGCACAGUUUGAAAGGCUUUUUAUGCACGCAUACAUACGCACACGCACAGGCACACGCAUGCAUAUGCACAUGCACAGGCACACGCACACAUACAGCUGUUAACAUUGGCGCACUAAUCUUUGGAGUGAAUGUGAAUAACAACAACAAGAGGAACAGCAACAGCAACAACAACAACAACAGAGAGAACAACAGAUAAUUGCGGAGUGAGGUAAAGUGAUUGGAAUUGCGAUAAGCUGCCGCCACUUUGUAGGUGACCCUUUUGGCUGAAGAAUACAAUUUGAAGGGCGUUCUCUCUCUCUCUCCCUCAUAUACACUAUGUGUCCCACCUGUUGCGUUUACCACCUUUCACAGAAACCCCCUGCCCCAAGCCAUUGCUACACACACACACGCACGCUAUUGCAUUCAUUGAGGAUUGCAUAUCAUAAACGUAUAUCGUAUUUGACUA
rnacentral:sRNA from 1 species